GACAGAGGUGCCGAGCGUUAGGCGGAAUCACUGGGCUUAAAGCGUGUGUAGGCGGAUGCCUAAGUACCUUGUGAAAUCCCACGGCUCAACCGUGGAACUGCUUGGUAUACUGGGUGUCUUGAGCUAUCUAGGGGCAACUGGAACAAACGGUGGAGCGGUGAAAUGCGUAGAUAUCGGAAGGAACACCUGUGGCGAAAGCGGCUCACUGGACCAUAACUGACGCUGAGGCACGAAAGCUAGGGGAGCAAACAGG
rnacentral:rRNA from 1 species